rnacentral:rRNA from 1 species
CCUACGGGGGGCAGCAGUGGGGAAUAUUGGACAAUGGGGGCAACCCUGAUCCAGCCAUGCCGCGUGUGUGAAGAAGGCCCUCGGGUUGUAAAGCACUUUCAGUGAGGAAGAACGCCUGGUGGUUAAUACCCAUCAGGAAAGACAUCACUCACAGAAGAAGCACUGGCUAACUCCGUGCCAGCAGCCGCGGUAAUACGGAGGGUGCGAGCGUUAAUCGGAAUUACUGGGCGUAAAGCGCGCGUAGGUGGCUUGAUAAGCCGGUUGUGAAAGCCCCGGGCUCAACCUGGGAACGGCAUCCGGAACUGUCAAGCUAGAGUGCAGGAGAGGAAGGUAGAAUUCCCGGUGUAGCGGUGAAAUGCGUAGAGAUCGGGAGGAAUACCAGUGGCGAAGGCGGCCUUCUGGACUGACACUGACACUGAGGUGCGAAAGCGUGGGUAGCAAACAGGAUUAGAUACCCCGGUAGUC